AAUGUAUGAGGCCGUUGAUUAUUUUUCCAACAUUUGACCAUUCAUUUUAUUAAAAAAAUUUAUGUAAUUAUCAUUUAUUUUAUUAUGACUUGAUUUAUCAUCAAAUGUUCUUUAAGCAUGACAUAAAUAUUUUCAUAUUUGCACAAAAAUUUUGAAUAAAACGAGUGGUCAAACGUUAGUCGAAAAAUCAACGGCGCCAUACAUU
rnacentral:pre_miRNA from 1 species